UACGUAGGUGGCAAGCGUUGUCCGGAUUUAUUGGGGUUAAAGGGUGCGUAGGCGGUCCUAUAAGUCAGUUGUGAAAUACGGCAGCUUAACUGUCGAGGUGCAAUUGAUACUGCAGGACUUGAGUACAGACGAGGUAGGCGGAAUUGACGGUGUAGCGGUGAAAUGCUUAGAUAUCGUCAAGAACACCGAUAGCGAAGGCAGCUUACUAGACUGUAACUGACGCUGAUGCACGAAAGUGUGGGGAUCAAACAGG
rnacentral:rRNA from 1 species